rnacentral:rRNA from 1 species
GGGAGGCAGCAGUGAGGAAUUUUGCGCAAUGGACGAAAGUCUGACGCAGCAACGCCGCGUGGGGGAUGAAGGUCUUCGGAUCGUAAACCUCUUUUCCAGGGGACGAUAGUGACGGUACUCUGGGAAUAAGCCCCGGCUAACUACGUGCCAGCAGCCGCGGUAAUACGUAGGGGGCGAGCGUUGUCCGGAUUUAUUGGGCGUAAAGAGCGCGUAGGCGGCGCUUCAAGUCGUGCGUGAAAUACUCCGGCUCAACUGGAGUAGGUCGUGCGAUACUGAAGUGCUUGAGGCCGGAAGAGGGAAGUGGAAUUCCCGGUGUAGUGGUGGAAUGCGUAGAUAUCGGGAGGAACACCAGUGGCGAAGGCGGCUUCCUGGUCCGGUCCUGACGCUGAGGCGCGAAAGCGUGGGGAGCGAACUGAAUUAGAAACCCCGGUAGUCCA